GACAGAGGGUGCAAACGUUGUUCGGAAUUACUGGGCGUAAAGCGCGUGUAGGCGGCCCAGCAAGUCGGAUGUGAAAGCCCUGGGCUUAACCUAGGAAGUGCAUUCGAAACUGCUGGGCUUGAGUUCUGGAGAGGAAGGCGGAAUUCUCGGUGUAGAGGUGAAAUUCGUAGAUAUCGAGAGGAACACCGGUGGCGAAGGCGGCCUUCUGGACAGUGACUGACGCUGAGAAGCGAAAGCAUGGGGAGCGAACAGG
rnacentral:rRNA from 1 species